rnacentral:rRNA from 1 species
AGACCCGAAACCCGGUGAUCUAGCCAUGGGCAGGUUGAAGGUUGGGUAACACUAACUGGAGGACCGAACCGACUAAUGUUGAAAAAUUAGCGGAUGACCUGUGGCUGGGGGUGAAAGGCCAAUCAAACCGGGAGAUAGCUGGUUCUCCCCGAAAGCUAUUUAGGUAGCGCCUCGUGAAUUCAUCUCCGGGGGUAGAGCACUGUUUCGGCUAGGGGGCCAUCCCGGCUUACCAACCCGAUGCAAACUGCGAAUACCGGAGAAUGUUAUCACGGGAGACACACGGCGGGUGCUAACGUCCGUCGUGAAGAGGGAAACAACCCAGACCGCCAGCUAAGGUCCCAAAGUCAUGGUUAAGUGGGAAACGAUGUGGGAAGGCCCAGACAGCCAGGAUGUUGGCUUAGAAGCAGCCAUCAUUUAAAGAAAGCGUAAUAGCUCACUGGUCGAGUCGGCCUGCGCGGAAGAUGUAACGGGGCUAAACCAUGCACCGAAGCUGCGGCAGCGAACGUAUCACUUAAAGCGAUUCAGCGGGUUACGAUUGACGGAGCGAAGCGACGUCAAAGCGUAUACAAAGUCGAGUCGGUUUAAGGAUACGUUCGUUGGGUAGGGGAGCGUUCUGUAAGCCUGCGAAGGUGGCCUGUGAGGGUUGCUGGAGGUAUCAGAAGUGCGAAUGCUGACAUAAGUAACGAUAAAGCGGGUGAAAAGCCCGCUCG